UUAAGCAGCCAUUUUUCACCCUGAAGGCACCAGAUCCAUUUGAUCUUGGAAGCUAAGCAAAGUCAUGUUUGGUUAGUACUUGGAUGGGAGACUACCAAGGAAUAUCAGACAUUACAGGCU
rnacentral:rRNA from 1 species